UGAGCCCCUGUGAACCAAGAUGAGCCAGAAAAAUAGGAUGAACCUGGAAUAGGAUUGCUUCUCAAUCUUGUUAUCUUACAUUAAACACAGAGAAAUGUACUAAGUAUACUUUCCCAUUUUAAGUGAAAAAAAUUACAAAGUAUAACAUUCACUUACAGAUAUUUUUGCAAAAUGCCUAAACAUAAAAGACCGCUCUUGGAUCCAAGUAGAUCACAUUCAAAAAGAAUGGCACAAUUAAGAGUUCUUGAAACUACAAGACAGAGACAAGAUCGCCUGGAAUCACAGAGACACAGACAGGCAGCUCUGAGAGCAAAUGAAAAUGAAGAACAAAGAGAAACUCGACUUCACAGAGACAGAACAAGACAGUCAAGAGCUCGAGCAAAUGAAAGUGAGGAACACAGAGAAAUCCGACUUCAAAGACACAGAACAAGACAGUCAAGAGCUCGAGCAAAUGAAAGUGAGGCGCAUAGAGAAACCCGACUUCAAAGAGACAGAACAAGAAAGUCAAUAGCACGAGCAAACGAAAGUGAGGAGCACAGAAAAAUUCGACUUCAGCGAGACAGAAUAAGAAAAUCAAUAACUCGGGCAAGCAAAAAUUGCCACUGCACAUUGAGCAGAUGUUUUCAGGGAACUAUCCACAGUGAUUCCAGGAUCUCUUUCUUGAGGGGUAACAGCUAUUUUAGACCCCCAUCAUUUUUGGUUUCCAGUUCCCAAGCCUGAUGUGAUCUCCCAGCUGGAACGAGGGGAGGAGCUGUGGGUCCCAGAGCUCCAGGGCUCCUUGGACAGACAGAUCCCAAGAGGUGCCUGUGCAGCAGGUGCUGGGAUGGGGGGUGAGAACCAGGAGCUGAAUCCUCAGCUGGAAGAUGCCGAGCGAGUGGAACCACAUGGGGGAUUAGCACAAGGCACCAAAGGGAAUGUGACCAGGCAUCAUGUGCAGGGGGCAGCUUGUGAGAGUCAGCACAGCCCAGAGAAGGAGCAGGGAAACCAGGCCAGUGGGGAAGUGGCCAUAUACAUUAAUAGUGAGGGAACUUAUGAGGACCUCAAGGAAUCUGCAGCGUAGGAGAGAAUACCUACCAGAGAGAGGAAAAAACACAUGCAUAGAGUGUGGGGAAAAUGUCACUCAGAUGUCCUUUCUCAUCAGACAUCAGAGGAUUUCCAUGGGAAAGGGACCCUACACAUGCAGUGAGUGCAGGAAAGAGUUUAUGGAGAAUUCAAAACUUAUUGAACACCAGCAAAUCCACGCAAAGGAGAGACCUAUGUGUGCUGUGAGUGUGGGAAAAGUUUCACUCGGUGCUCCUCUCUCCUUAGACAUCAAAGGAUCCACACAGUGUUGAAACUCUGAAUGUCACGAGUGCAAGAAAAGCUUCCCUUUCAAACCAGACCUAAGAAAUCAUCAGCCUUCCUACAAAUGCUGCGUGGGUGGGGAACAUUUCAUUGAGGAACCAGAUCUUGUCUCAUCUCAGACAGGUCACACAGGAGAGAGACCUCAUGAAUGCUGUGAGUGUGGGAAAUAGUUCAGGCAGAGGUCAUCCCCUAUCAUAUAAUCCGCACCAGAGAGCGACCCCAUGAAUGCAGUGAGUGCGGGAAAACCUUCACCCAGAGCUCAGGCCUCAUUCAUCAUCAGAGAAUGCACACAGGAGAGCGACCCUAAAUCUGCUUUGCGUGUGGGAAAAUGUUCACUCAGAACUCAGGUCUUAUUAAAUAUCAGAAAAAUCCACACAAGAGAGAUAGUAAUAGAAAUGUAGCCGUGUUAGUCUGGUGUAGCUGAAGCAAAAUAUAGGACUAUGUAGCACUUUAAAGACUAACAAGAUGGUUUAUUAGAUGAUGAGCUUUCGUGGGCCAGAC